GCCAGAUACAAUGGUGCAAAUCUGUGAUCCCAGCUACUCGGGAGGCUGAGGCAGAAUGAUUCUUUGAGCCCAGGAGCUCAAGACCAGUCUGAGCAUCAUAGCAAGACUGUGUUUCUA
rnacentral:sRNA from 1 species